GCCGCCAAGCGUCGCUACGGCUGCUCACUGCGCAAGCGCGGGCUCGAGGCCGCCCACGCUGUCGCGCAAGCGCAGCGUCCAACGAGCCCCUCGGCUCACCAAUAUGCAGGCGGGGCUCCCCAACGGCCGCCGAAAUCCGGCAUGGCGCACGCGCGUUCUCCCCACAACCCACGCAACUGCACAGGCGCACAUCGCCUGGGCCCGAAAAGGCGCUCGCGCCCCCCCACUCGUUGACGCUGUGCGCAGACUCCAAUUGUUUUCCCUCAGCCGCCGUAAAAACCGCAUGCAGCGUCUUCGAUCUGACCAUCUAGCUGCGCACGCGCAGCCUCCCCCUCAGUCUGUGUAGCACUCGCGCUGCCUACGUGUUGAUUGUAACAACAGCAACAAAACAUCAAUGUGAUAGUAAAGGACCACGAGGACCCCAGUCAUGCCAAAGGAUCCUUGAAGGCAAUGAAGAGUGCUCUACACAGGUGCCUUCACAGGGCAGCAGGGAGUUCACUGGACCAAGCAUGGAUCUUUGUGCUGUAACACUAAUGCUUUGUUAGUUGCUAAGGUACUGCAGAGCUGAGUGUGGUGUAAGCGCUUAGUGCUUGUCUACAUGGGGACACGCAGGAAAGUAAUCUGAUAAAUUAAAGCACAUUAUUAAACCCCUGUGUUGACACUCUUAUUCAGAA